rnacentral:rRNA from 1 species
CGACCUCAGAUCAGGCGAGACUACCCGCUGAAUUUAAGCAUAUUAAUAGGCGGAGGAAAAGAAACUAACGAGGAUUCGCCAAGUAGCGGCGAGCGAACAGGGAGGAGCUCAGCACGGAAUCCCGCGCGGCGACGCGCAGGGACAUGUCGUGUGUGGGAGGUUCCAUUGUGCCGGGGGUCGGCCGCGAGUCCAAGUCUCCCUUGCACGGGGCCACAGCCCGCAGAGGGUGCCAGGCCCGUAGAGACCGCGGCUGCUCCCGGGAGGAGCUCUCCUCAGAGUCGUGUUCCUUGAGAGUGGAGCACCAAGUGGGUGGUAAACUCCAUCUAAAGCUAAAUAUGACCACGAGACCGAUAGCGAACAAGUACCGUGAGGGAAAGUUGAAAAGAACUUUGAAGAGAGAGUUCAACAGUACGUGAAACCGUUCAGGGGUAAACGGGAGAGAUCCGAAAGGUCGAAAGGGGGAGACUCAAUCACGUCCGCGCGUCCGGUGCCGUUCUCGGUCCUAAGGGAUGCUGCCGGCCGCCGGCCGCGUCGCAAGGCGCGAGCCGGGUCGGAGUCGGUGGCACCGGGGCCGGAGGUCCGGCCGCGGCGUGGUGCACUUCUCCCCCCGAGUAGGACGUCGCGACCCGUUGGGCAAGUCCGGCCUAAGGCCCGGGAUGAGACCGAGGGGAUCGCCGCGCAAUCGCGCGGACCAACGAUCCUCCGGACCCUGGAUGUCCUGGCCGGCGCCCGACGGCAUGUCUCGCGGAGAAGGCCCGCUCCCUCGCAGAGCGUGCGUCCGGCCCGGCUGGCAAGCACGACGCCGGUAGCUCGAGGUGCCGUGGCUUCCGCCACGUCCCCGGCUCCCGUCGGCUGCUGGUUGCCGGAGUCCUCGGACGGUGGCCGUCUCCCGUCAGCGGCGCUUAUGCUUCGGAUGCUUUCCCGACCCGUCUUGAAACACGGACCAAGGAGUCUAACAUG